rnacentral:lncRNA from 1 species
AUGGAUGCAGGUGCUGAGCACACCUGGAAGGCCCAGCUGAUCAAUACAUGGCUGAGAGGCUGGUGCCAUUGCAAGAAUUUGUUGGGUUUUUUUGAUCAUGGUGAUCAAGCAUUGAUGACCUUGACCAUCAGGAAAACACAAAACUGCAUUCUACAAGACAAGAUGAAAACUAUAUUGGUGAUGAAGACAUUGAGAAAAACAUCAGAUGAGAAAAGCUCUGCGUUACUACUCGGUAGACUCAUCUAUCUGAAUGGGAAACAAGCUGCUGGUAUUCCUGAGACAGAUGAGGAGCUACUAGCAACAGUAGAAGCUAUCCCUGCAACAUGAGUCUUUCUAUGAACAAAUUUCUACCAUGACUGAUACAGAAAAGUCACUGCAGGUAGAAGAUAGACAUGCCAACAAAACACCAUACAGUGACUACACAUAAAACGACUUUCACCUUGAUCCAAUAAGAACUGGAAUAAGCUGGAAGAUGGAAAGAAUCUGCUGGUUCCCAAGAAACGAAUGUUUAUUCAACCAUGAACAUUCAAGCAUAACAGCCAUUCUCAAAAUUACACACAUUUUUGAACAUCCAAGCACAGGUGUAACUUUGUUGGGCUUUUACUUCCUCCUAAUCAACAUCAGACCUACCACAACUGUAUCAACCACAGGUCAUGGCAGCCCCAUAGAUACAACAUAAUAAUGCCUUUGACACAGAGUAGUCUCAACAGAAAAAAAUGAAGUCAUGCUUUACAAAGGUGACUAAGCAGAAUCUGGGAGUCAAAACAAGUAGUAGACAAGACAGGAAAAGGUGGUUCUGUACCACUUUGUUCAUAAUACUUGUGCAGACUCUCCGAAAUUGCUUCAGGAAAAGGUUAUAGACUUAGUGAUUACAGAGAGAUUAAUGGUGCCAUGGUACCCACGUCACAAGCCCUUGGGAAUAAAGCAAGUUCUCUGCAUACCCACCUGAUAAAUGCGGUUACACUAGGUACUAAGUUAAUUAGUAGCAGCCUGGGCAGGAGGUAAAAUAGAUAGUGAGAAGAAACAGGGGAAAGGUGAACUGAUACUUAGAGACUGAAUGAAGAACAAAGAUCAACAAAGAGGUACUGGAAGAAAGACUGAAAAACAAGACCUGUGGUCUUAGGAAAUCUGCUAUCAAAUGAAGACUGAUCCCCACAGCAUGCCCGAACAAUAGAGAAUGCAAAUAGAGAACGCUUUUUUAUAAAAAGCAUGUCUACUUCACAUGAAAGGGAGAGAGUUUAGGAUGAUAGUAUAAAUGUCCUUGUUUACUCUCCCUGACUUGCACCCCUUGUUUUGUAACCACUGCAUAGUAAUACCUAUUCAGGCCUUUCCCAAACAACUCUGGGUUCUCUAAAUCUUGGUAUCACCACAAACUUCCUGAUGCAGUCAUGUGAUUGAAUUUUCAUUGUUAUGGAUAGUGACACACUGUAAGCAAUGUCAGUCUGCACCCAACUAAGGAGAUAAUCAGAAUGGCAGACACAGAAAUCUCACAAAUCAUUCAAAAAUGCAAAAUGUUCAUACAGCAUUAUAUCUUUAGAUUCACACAGCAGUCUGUAUCAUAUUGAGAGAAAUGCUGAAUUAAUGCACUCACAGAUGUGUUACAAAGUAUUUUUCUUGUAAAUGCACAAAAAUCAUUCCUAAAGAUUCAUCUCAGAAAUCCUUAAAAUUCCUUGAAUUAAAUAUACAGUAGUUACUGUGGUUUUACCCCGCUAGGCAGCUAAGUUCCACCACAACCAUUCUCCCACUCCCCAUCCUCAAAAGAAAAGGAGGAGAAGAAAUGAUGACGGGAAAAAAAGGUUCAUGGGUUGAGAUAAUGAUAAUUUAAUUAAAGGGAAAAGAAAGAGUGGAAAGGAAAAAAAGGGGGGGGGGGGGGGGGGNNNNNNNNNNGGGGGGGGGGGGAAGGAGCAAAGGCUGAGCAGAAGCAAAGAGAAUAAAAUUAUUCUCUACUUCCCAUCAACAUGUGAUGUUCAGACAUGUCCUUUGAACAAGGGCCUCAACACACAAACACAAAAACCUUUUUUUUGAGAAGGACAGAUGUCUUCAUAAUGAGGGCCCACCCCUUCUUUUUCUCUUUCCCCUAGCCCAGCCUUUUAUUGCUGUGUGACAUCAUAUGGUAUGCAAUAUCUUUGGUCAGUUUAGGUCAGCUGCCCUGGUGAUGUCCCCUCCCCACCCCUUGCCCACCACCAGCCUCCUGGCUUUGCAAGGUUUGGAGAGGGUCUUGAUGCUGUGCCAGCACUGCUCAGCAAUGGAAAAAAACACUGGUGUGAUACCAGUGCUUUUCUAGUUACAAGUGCAGAGCACAACACUAUAUAUGGGCCACUGCAAGGAAAGUUAACUCCAUCCCAGCCAGACCCAGAACAAACUGAAAUAAACUGAAGUAAUAAAAGUAACAACUAAUGCAACAGAGAUACCCACCAUUUCUAGCCUUUUUUUUUUUUUUUUUUUUUUCCUGGUAUUUCAUAACUAUGUCUAUAAACGCUUUUAAAAACGGUACACCACUCAAAACCACUACAAAAAAAUCUCAACAAAACCUAUUUCUUUUUGGCUUUCCACAAAUCAA